UACGGGGGGGCAAGCGUUGUUCGGAAUUACUGGGCGUAAAGGGCGUCGUAGGCGGCCAACUAAGUCAGACGUGAAAUCCCUCGGCUUAACCGGGGAACUGCGUCUGAUACUGGAUGGCUAGAGGUUGGGAGAGGGAUGCGGAAUUCCGAGGUGUAGCGGUGAAAUGCGUAGAUAUCUGGAGGAACACCGGUGGCGAAGGCGGCAUCCUGGACCAAUUCUGACGCUGAGGAGCGAAAGCCAGGGGGAGCCAAAGCGGG
rnacentral:rRNA from 1 species